GUGUCAGCCGCCGCGGUAAUACGUAGGGGGCAAGCGUUGUCCGGAUUUAUUGGGCGUAAAGCGCUCGCAGGUGGUCCGUCGCGUCGUGCGUGAAAGCCCCCGGCUCAACUGGGGAGUGUCGUGCGAUACGGGCGGACUGGAGGCCAGUAGGGGGAUGCGGAAUUCCGGGUGUAGUGGUGGAAUGCGUAGAGAUCCGGAGGAACACCAGCGGCGAAGGCGGCAUCCUGGACUGGUCCUGACACUCAGGAGCGAAAGCGUGGGGAGCGAUCCGGAUUAGAUACCCGGGUAGUCC
rnacentral:rRNA from 1 species